AGAAAAUCUGGAAAGUGGGAAGGAAGAAAAGAAGCCCCCUGACUCCUCCCUGAGCCCCAGACAGCCCAUGAACUGCCUCCCUGGGAAUGGUAGGACAGGGUGGACUCUGGAUUGCUCCCUCUGGAUGUGUGGGGGAUGUAGCCUGGAAAGUGCACAGAGCUGAGGCAAGGGAUUUAAAGGGACCAACCAAGGGAGGUGAAGAAAGAAGGAAGAAGGGAACUGAGGCAGCAGCCAAGCAGUAUCAAGUUCCUGUGUAAGCAGGACGUGAAUGCAAGAACCUGCCAAGAAAACCAAUGG